rnacentral:rRNA from 1 species
AUUGAACGCUGGCGGCAUGCUUUACACAUGCAAGUCGAACGCGAAAGGGGGCAACCCUGAGUAGAGUGGCGCACGGGUGAGUAACGCAUCGGAACAUACCCAGUAGUGGGGGACAACCAGUCGAAAGACUGGCUAAUACCGCAUACGACCUACGGGUGAAAGCGGGGGACCGCAAGGCCUCGCGCUAUUGGAAUGGCCGAUGUCUGAUUAGCUAGUUGGCGGGGUAAAAGCCCACCAAGGCGACGAUCAG